AAAAGCACGCUCGACAUCUUUUCGGAAAAACAUGAGAAAGGAAGGAAGAACAUGAGAAGAAAGAAUAAAGGCUUGUGAAUACACUUUCAUGACAAGCUAUUAUUUGUACAAAGGCUAGUGAAUACAUUUUCAUUUCCGUGAUACACUUUCAUUUUACACGUGACCACAGCAAUACAAGAAAAGACAAUCAUGUACUUGAUACAAGAAAACAACGUGACCAAUGUACGUGAUACAAGAAAACAAGACAAACUCUAGGUUCGUGAUACAAGAAAACAAGACAACAAAAGAACCAUGGAUGCUCUGCCUUCAUCAUACUAUUUUUCACCUUCUUUUUGAAAGACGGCCCGUAACUAUAGCAGUCCAUGCAACUGCAAUCGCCACUGAUGAUAUUAUCCUCUUAAAACACUGAGUCGUCGUUUGGUAUCUCCAUUAGAUCUCUUAUCUGUAAAAUUCCAAUACAAUACAUGUGAGAACCAAUCUUUCAUGACUACAAGACCUGAUGUUCAAUCAUAUCGCAAUGCAAUGUUCACAGUUUAAUAACAAGAAGAACAAACACCAGCUUUGGUGCUACAUUAACUCAUAACUCUUACACUGAGUUAAAAACAACAACGACAGGAACAACAAACACAACAGCUCCAUGACAAUAACUUCAAAUACAACAAACAACUAAAACAGCUCCAUGACAAUAACUUAAAGUUUAUCGACAUUAACUCUUAAAUUAGAAACGUUUACCGGGUUUAGAAUGGUUUCUGUGAGGUUUGCGACUUUGUAGCAGUUGCAGAAUUCGAAUGAUGGCAAGGUUGUGUUCUCCUCCUUAUCAGCUAGGUCCCAAAACAUUCUGGUUCAGCUACAAUAACUCAAGGCAGAUGAAUCUUCUCUUCCUUGCUAUAAGUAAAGCUGCAUUCUCCGGCGAAUCCUCCGAUCUGUAAAGUCUUAAACCUUUUUAAGACCUAAACCUCAGAUUUAAGCAC
rnacentral:lncRNA from 1 species